rnacentral:tRNA from 1 species
GGGUGCGUAGGAUAAUGGUAGUCUGGCUGCCUCCAGAGCAGUAGGCGGGGGUUCGAUUCCCUCCGCGCCCA